CCCAUUUUACCCUUUUCUAAAAUCCUGUUCAUUUGGACUACACACGUGGACACUCUCUCUGCACAGGUACUUUUCUAUUUUUCCCACAUUUUUUCCUUCUUCUCUUUUUUCUUCUCUUUUUUCACAAACCCUAUCCCCCUUUUCACUCAAUGAUAAUCUCUCCCAAUCAAAGCUGCAGACUCAACUUUUCUGAUUGCUUGCAACUAUGGUUUUGUAAAUUUCAAUACAAACCCUAUCUCUCUUUAGUGUCCUUCAUAAAGUUAAACCAACUUCUUCUUCAUUUCUUUCAUCUCUCUCUCUCAUCUUCUCUCUCUCUCUCGAAAGUCUUUUUUUUUCUUUUCCUAGCAAAGUUUUCAUUUCUUCCUUUCUCCUCCUCCCUCAUGGCAAGACCGUUCGAGCGCGUUGCCGACAUCAACCACGGUAAGGAUUUGUGGAAGGUGGCGGUUCGAGUUGAGCAUAAAUGGAGUGUCGUUUCCAACAAGAAAGCACACUUUGAAAUGAUUUUCAUUGACAAGGAUAAAGUAUGGAAUCCGAAUUCGAGCGGAUCAACGAUUUAGUUACUUCAAAUAAUUAGACUGAGGAGGUGAUGAGGGAGUAGAUGCUGCCGAUGAAAAAGUAGAAGCAGGAAGUUUGAAACUUUCCAUAUCUGUGGAACUGAUUCUUGUCACCCUAAUGUCAAAGAUACUGUGAGAGUAUGUCCUGAAGCCGGUGUUAAGGUAUAUGUUCGAUAAUGGCUGCUAAACUAAGGCACUAUCCAUCUUAGAAUAGUUGGUGACCACCGGUUUUGUGAAAAAUGUUUUCUCUAGAAACGAGUACAAUGUUGUUCCUGAAUCAUCAUUUGUAGAAGAAUAUGACGUUGUUGUGAGUGAUGAUGUGAUGGAACCAAGUUUGCAUAAGUAUGUUACUGUUAAGAGAGGUGGUUCAUUUUCACUUUGUGAGGAUCAAGAGUCUUCUGGCAGUAAUAGCUUCAGUUUGAAUAGUGGCCAACAACAACAACACUAGAACAAUUGUUCUUCUGGUGAUUCGCCCGAUUGUUGGAGUCCGAGAUUGAGUUCUAAAGAGGAGAGUUUGAUGAAAAGAAGAGUGUGAUCAUCAGCAUAGCGGUGGUAUCGGACAUGGAAGACUUGCUACUACAUCUUCUGGCAUUAAAGUAUCAAUCGGCAGCAAUGAAGAUUUACUAAAACCUGCACCAACAGAAGCAGCUUUGCUGUUAAUACUAAAGAAUUUUUUUGAGGUCAUUCUGCAUCUCCAUGUAGUGAAUAGGUGAUUCUUGGAGGUGGUGAGGAUGUAUCAGUUGUUACAGCUUCUGAUCAAAGUGUUGGAAGCUACCUUAUCGGCUGUGACAACGAACUUGCAAAAUUACAUACUAGACAUCCCUAGGCUUGCGACAAAGUUGGUGGCGUGAUCAUUAUGCAUAUAGACAAUCUCCAAAAAUUCGCGAUGCUAUGGCUGCAUAAAACUGAGGAGGUUCGAGCUGAUAGAGCUCAUUAUGCAAGAAAUAUAACACGAGACAUAUAUGAGACCGGGUGGAUCAGUGAGAUGUAUGGUUACUCAUUUGGUGCGGUCGAGUUGAAACUAAAGCACACUAUAAGCAGUGAGAUAUUGAUAUACCCGGGAUAUGUUCCUGCGCUGAACGUCAAAUAUCGAGUUUGUCAUUAUGGAUUGCAAUUCAGUUAGUUGUCCACAUGGUCUAUUGAUGCCUGAGCAAGCUCCUGGUGCUAAACGGAUCCUUAUUCCUGAGACUUUUUGGCUCUUCUUAUGUGAAGAUGCUAUUUCUGUAAAACAUGAUGAUGCUUUAGGUGGCCUGAUUCUUCCUUGAGGUUCUACAGAGUGUUCCCAAUGCAUUAAUGAAUUAUCUGAAGCAGCAUGCUUGGAGGAUUCUUAGAGGUUAUUUCAUUUGUAAUUGACAUUACAAAUAGUGACAAAUAAUUACCUGAAAUGAUGCUGUGUGCUGAAAGAAUGCUCAUGUUACGAAACUCUUAACUCGGCCUAACCAUAGUCAGUUUUAUAUUUUUGAGAAAUAAUAGUAGUUAUAGUUAUAAUGCCUAGAUAGUACUUUUGUAGUAGCUAUAUGAUAUUUGCAUGAUGAGAUGUUGGAAUGAAGAGCUAAUAUUUUUUAA